UCUCAGUGGAUAAAAAAGUGAGAGAUUAGGGGAGGUCUGCUCAGCUGUGGGGCACAGAAGACAGGACUGGUGAUGGUCUCCACCAUGUCCUGGUCUACUGUCCUUCUCACCCUCUUCACUCAUUGCACAGGGUCCUGGGCCCAGUCUGUACUGACUCAGCCAUCUUCAGUGUCAGGCUCCUUGGACCAGAGGGUCACCAUCUCCUGCACUGGAAGCAGCUCCAACAUCGGUAGCAAUUAUGUGAACUGGUACCAACAACUCCCAGGCACAACCCCCAAAACCACAAUCUAUUGGGAUGAUA